rnacentral:rRNA from 1 species
GACGAACGCUGGCGGCGUGCCUAAUACAUGCAAGUUGAGCGAUGAAGAUUGGUGCUUGCACCAAUUUGAAGAGCAGCGAACGGGUGAGUAACGCGUGGGGAAUCUGCCUUUGAGCGGGGGACAACAUUUGGAAACGAAUGCUAAUACCGCAUAACAACUUUAAACAUAAGUUUUAAGUUUGAAAGAUGCAAUUGCAUCACUCAAAGAUGAUCCCGCGUUGUAUUAGCUAGUUGGUGAGGUAAAGGCUCACCAAGGCGAUGAUACAUAGCCGACCUGAGAGGGUGAUCGGCCACAUUGGGACUGAGACACGGCCCAAACUCCUACGGGAGGCAGCAGUAGAGAAUCUUCGGCAAUGGACGAAAGUCUGACCGAGCAACGCCGCGUGAGUGAAGAAGGUUUUCGGAUCGUAAAACUCUGUUGGUAGAGAAGAACGUUGGUGAGAGUGGAAAGCUCAUCAAGUGACGGUAACUACCCAGAAAGGGACGGCUAACUACGUG